AGUCCUGGACUGAGCUUCAGAAGAUCUCAGAUCACUGACAUUCUGUCUAGAAGAAUACUCCAAGAUAUAUUUCUAAGUAAUAUUCCUUCUCUUGUUGGGGGAAAUUAGAGAAGAUUUCUACCUGGUGCCAUAUCAACUCAAGGAUAGAGUCAAAUACUGAGAAGCUCUGUCAUCUGUCUUUGGAUCUCCUUCUGUGAAAAUUGUAACAAGGAGCAAACAGCAAAGAACUGAAAUGCUACAGACUCCAGUGAGAAAAAAUUGAGGUAUAGUUGGUAAUUGGUUUCGGUGUGCUGGUGCUUGAAACUCUAUCCCAGUGCUUCCUUCAACUAAGGCUGCAAAUUGAAAAUGUGAACAACGUUGCCUGCUUGAACCAGCCUGGGCUUGUGGCAGCAUCAUUCUGUCACUUAAUUCUUCUCACAGAGCCGUUAACAAACCAUCUGUAUGCCUAAUAUUGAUGCUGUCUUCCCCUAGUGUACUGGACAAUCUAAGACAGGGAAAUAAAGAUAAGAUUUGGAUUGAAGAGUGAGGAGCCAAAAUAAUGCAGCUUCACUUCUCCUUAAUGGACAGAAGACUACACUGUUUUUGCUGCACCCAGAGAUAAAGUUAUUGGUUUUGGAGUACCUUCACUGAUGCCAGGGGUGUCAUCUUUAACUUCCAUCACAUAAUAUAUAUAUUAAGAGAAUUUUUCUUAGCUUUAAAUGAGUUGGUAAGAGGAACAAGAAGAAAGCCAAGGACUCCAUUUCCAGGAUUAAAAGCGUUUUUUUUCUUUCUCUUCCAAAUCCUAGCAGUAGAAGCAUUUGAGUUCUGCAGAAAUUACUGAAGUGGUUCAAGUGUGGGCAGUCAGGACACUCAGCGCCCCAUACUCAACCCCAACUCAACCCCAACUCAACCUCAACUCUCAGUAUGGCAGAGAGGUGGAGAACUCAGAGCUAUAACUUUCAGGAAUUCUCAAAACCUCAGACCAAAUGCAUCUUUGUUUUACCACCUGUUAAAGUAUAUCCUCAUCUGCCUCAGUGCACAUAAGUAUACAACACUGCAGAUUGUGUUUAACUUCAUUUGCAAUUAAUUUAAUGCAUUUUGUAUCCAACAUUUUUACUAGGAAAUAGUAUUAGUCUAUCCCCAAACUAAAAUUCAUUGCAAAAAUGUAAUUCACUCAAGAAAAAUAAUGAUAAUUCUUGAAACACCUUUAGAUGUCAUUCAACAAUCAUACCCAAUGGGUAAAAUUUAGAGUUCAACAUUUAGCUUGCAUUUCUUUCUAACCAUACAUCUCAAGUUUAAAAAAUAAAGCAGAUUGCUUUGUGCAUUUGUUAUCACUACCACAUCAAUGGUUACCUACACUUCCUGAGCCCCAAAUAGAACUCUCAGAGAAGCAUUGUGUAUUUGUCAAUAUCCUGGAGUUUCAAAACUCCCAAGUGUUGCCACCAUUUGACCUGAAAUUUCCUCUCUUCUCAGAUUCCUGCCUCUAAACACAAAACAAACAAACCUUUACUUAACUUAGCUCAUGUGUGAAUUUUUAGGGUCAUUUGUUUCAUAUCCAGAAAGACUUUAAGUCUCUUUGCUAAAUUUUGAUUUACCCAAGGCCAGUAGCCUGAAUUCAACUUUAGCAGUCCCAGGGCUCAGUAGAUUUGCCCUGUAGAUUCUGUAAUUGGAUAUUUAUGUUCCACGUAUUUCUUCUUUCAGAGCAUAGCAGAAGUAUAGGGAUAAUACCUUAGUUGAAUGUUGGCCCUAAAAUAGCUGCUCAUUUGUAGCACUCAGAGGAACCUGAAAUUAUUCACAUUCAGCCGACAUUUCCAUUAGGUGAGAUGCUGCCUGCUAAUUCACAUUUGCCUGGGAUUGCUCCUCAGAGUUCAGAUUUAAUUUUGAUAACAUAAACUCUAUCAUUUAAUAAAUAAUAAGCAGUAAAAAAUUAAAACUGUUGUUAUUGGGCAUUUGGAAUGAAAGAAAAACAGUAUGGUGUAUUAGGUUUAAGGGUUCCUCAAUAUCUUAAUCUAUAUUGCCUUUGGAAAGAAGGAAUCCUUAGAUAAAAAAAAGUAAAAUACUUUAAAAUUUCUCUUCGUUUCAUUAGUGCAUGAGACUGAGACAGGUAUUGUCACUCUUGCCACUGACUCAGUGACAUGUCAGAAACAAUGAAGUCUUAAAUAUAUUGCUCACAAUUUCAGCUGCCUAUAUAUAGUAUAAAAUUAAUUGCAUUUAAACAAUAAAGUUCUGCUUUUUAGCAAUUUUCAAGUAGAUCUUAAAUGUUCUCGACACAAAAAGCUUAGUAUGUGAGGUGAUAGAUAUUAUAAUUAGUUUGAUUUAAUCAUUUCACAAUGUAUAAAAGUAUCAAAACAACAUGUACAUCAUAAAUAUGUAGACUUUAAAAUUUUUCAAUUAUACCUUAAUAAAGCUG
rnacentral:lncRNA from 1 species